rnacentral:rRNA from 1 species
AGUGAACGCUGGCGGUAGGCCUAACACAUGCAAGUCGAACGGCAGCACAGUAAGAGCUUGCUCUUACGGGUGGCGAGUGGCGGACGGGUGAGGAAUACAUCGGAAUCUACUUUUUCGUGGGGGAUAACGUAGGGAAACUUACGCUAAUACCGCAUACGACCUACGGGUGAAAGCAGGGGAUCUUCGGACCUUGCGCGAUUGAAUGAGCCGAUGUCGGAUUAGCUAGUUGGCGGGGUAAAGGCCCACCAAGGCGACGAUCCGUAGCUGGUCUGAGAGGAUGAUCAGCCACACUGGAACUGAGACACGGUCCAGACUCCUACAGAAGGCAGCAGUGGGGAAUAUUGGACAAUGGGCGCAAGCCUGAUCCAGCCAUACCGCGUGGGUGAAGAAGGCCUUCGGGUUGUAAAGCCCUUUUGUUGGGAAAGAAAAGCAGCAGGUUAAUACCCAGCUGUUCUGACGGUACCCAAAGAAUAAGCACCGGCUAACUUCGUG